rnacentral:rRNA from 1 species
UGGGGAAUAUUGCACAAUGGGCGCAAGCCUGAUGCAGCCAUGCCGCGUGUGUGAAGAAGGCCUUCGGGUUGUAAAGCACUUUCAGCGAGGAGGAAGGGUAGUGUGUUAAUAGCACAUUGCAUUGACGUUACUCGCAGAAGAAGCACCGGCUAACUCCGUGCCAGCAGCCGCGGUAAUACGGAGGGUGCAAGCGUUAAUCGGAAUUACUGGGCGUAAAGCGCACGCAGGCGGUUUGUUAAGUCAGAUGUGAAAUCCCCGCGCUUAACGUGGGAACUGCAUUUGAAACUGGCAAGCUAGAGUCUUGUAGAGGGGGGUAGAAUUCCAGGUGUAGCGGUGAAAUGCGUAGAGAUCUGGAGGAAUACCGGUGGCGAAGGCGGCCCCCUGGACAAAGACUGACGC